rnacentral:rRNA from 1 species
UGCCAGCCGCCGCGGUAAUACGAAGGGGGCUAGCGUUGUUCGGAAUCACUGGGCAUAAAGCGCACGUAGGCGGGAAUGCAAGUCGGGUGUGAAAUCCCUCGGCCUAACCAAGGAACUGCACCCAAAACUGUGUUUCUUGAGGGCAGCAGGGGAGCGUGGAAUUCCUGGUGGAGCGGUGAAAUGCGUUGAUAUCAGGAGGAACACCAGCGGCGAAGGCAUCUCUCUGGGUCGAUAUUGACGCUGAGGCGCGAAGGCGUGGGUAGCGAACGGGAUUAGAUA